rnacentral:rRNA from 1 species
AGGAUAAACGCUGGCGGCGUGCAUGAGACAUGCAAGUCGAACGGACGAUCAGGGCUUGCUCUGAUCGUUAGUGGCGGACGGCUGAGUAACGCGUAGGUGACCUGCCCCGAAGUGGGGAAUAACUGCCCGAAAGGGUGGCUAAUACCGCAUGUGGUGGUGUGUUCAUUCACACCAGUAAAGCCGCAAGGCGCUUCGGGAGGGGCCUGCGUCCGAUUAGCUCGUUGGUGGGGUAACGGCUCACCAAGGCGACGAUCGGUAGGUGGUCUGAGAGGACGAUCACCCAGACUGGGACUGAGACACGGCCCAGACUCCUACGGGAGGCAGCAGUCGGGAAUUUUGCGCAAUGGACGAAAGUCUGACGCAGCAACGCCGCGUGAGGGAUGAAGGCCUUCGGGUUGUAAACCUCUUUAUCAGGGAAGAUAAUGACGGUACCUGAUGAAUAAGUCACGGCUAACUACGCGCCAGCAGCCGCGGU